rnacentral:rRNA from 1 species
GAUGAACGCUAGCGAUAGGCUUAACACAUGCAAGUCGAGGGGCAGCAUGGUCUUAGCUUGCUAAGACUGAUGGCGACCGGCGCACGGGUGCGUAACGCGUAUGCAACUUGCCUCACAGAGGGGGAUAACCCGUCGAAAGACGGACUAAUACCGCGUACACUUGGGAUAGGGCAUCCUGACCCAAGGAAAUGAAAUUCGCUGUGAGAUAGGCAUGCGUCCCAUUAGCUAGUUGGUGAGGUAACGGCUCACCAAGGCGACGAUGGGUAGGGGAACUGAGAGGUUGAACCCCCACACUGGUACUGAGACACGGACCAGACUCCUACGGGAGGCAGCAGUGAGGAAUAGGGGUCAAUGGGCGAGAGCCUGAACCAGCCAAGUCGCGUGAAGGAUGACUGUCUUAUGGAUGGUAAACUUCUUUUAGACGGGAAUAACAAGAGUCACGUGUGGCUCCCUGCAUGUACCGUAUGAAUAAGCAUCGGCUAACUCCGUG